GCAGCUUUGAAAAGGGCUUAGCAAGCUCUCUCACUGGAGAUGCUAGUCCUUCCUGAACAUCCCAUGUACCCUAAUUAUCCAAGAAGAUAAAUGACAAACAAAAGAAUUUCAAUUUUUAUUUAAAGGCAAUGGGAAUCAUUGGAGUUUCUGUAGCAGAAGAAUUAGAAAGUAAAACCUGUGAUUUAGAAAUAUCAGCAUGGCAACUAUGUAAAUGAUGGAAUGAGGGGAUGAAAGACUGCAGACAUGGAAAGCAAUUAAGAGUAUGUUUCUUUGAAGCAAGAGGUGAUGAGGACCUGAACGGGUAUAAUUAUUUUAUGAAGGAAGAGUCUAGGCACCAUACCAUAGUGGACAGAGAGACAGCUUCACAGUUAAGAAGACCUCGAUUGAUGAUUGCUGGUCCGCUGAAUCACCGCCUGCCACACACACUCUUGCUUGAUGGAAGAGUGAACCUGGGUAAGUGUUUUACCAUCUCAGCUCCUCCUCACCUCUGUGGGAAUUUUCCAAGGAUAUAAUUUGCCAAUCAGUUGCCUAUCUUUAUUGAUAUAGAGUGUUUAUUCAAUUGGAGUCACUAUAUCAAUGACAAUUUCUAGUGGAAUUGGAGAGAAAAAGAUCUAUAUUGGAGAAAUAUUAGUUAUUUGAAAACAUUUAGAACUUUAUUAUUUUAUAAUAUAAAUGUACCUAUAUUUCUUAUGUUAUUCCACC
rnacentral:lncRNA from 1 species